rnacentral:rRNA from 1 species
CGGGGGGAGCAAGCGUUGUUCGGAUUUACUGGGCGUAAAGGGCGCGUAGGCGGCGCAACAAGUCACUUGUGAAAUCUCCGGGCUUAACUCGGAGCGGCCAAGUGAUACUGUCGUGCUAGAGUGCGGAAGGGGCAGCUGGAAUUCUCGGUGUAGCGGUGAAAUGCGUAGAUAUCGAGAGGAACACCUGCGGCGAAGGCGGGUUGCUGGGCCGACACUGACGCUGAGGCGCGAAAGCCAGGGGAGCGAACGGGAUUAGAUACCCCGGUAGUCCUGGCCUUAAACGAUGGAUGCUUGGUGUCCGGGGUUACAUAGUCCCCGGGUGCCGUCGCUAACGCCUUAAGCAUCCCGCCUGGGGAGUACGCACGCAAGUGUG